UUUUUUUUUUUUUCUUUCUUCCAUAGGCUCUCAAAAUAAAAGAAGCUGAAUUUAAUUUAAAGCCAAUCUUAUUAAAGAUUAUACUCUGGUCUUAACACUGGGCUCCCCAGAUACUCUGUAAUUAGCAUUCUUUAAGUACCCACAGUAGAACUGGGCAUCGGGCUGUUAAUUUAAUGAUUUAUUGAUUAAUGGUUUUUAUAUUCUGAUGAGAGGGACCAUUUUCUGAACUGCUGUUGGUCAGCAUAAUUCUGCAAAAAGAUAAGAAUAUUCCUUUGGUGCUACUUCUGUUUGUUCCUUAACCCCUGUGUUUCACUGCCCAACAGCGCUCAGUCCGCCACCUUUUGGCAUGUGUAGCUUUUGGGUUAUAGAACUUGGGUUUGGCCCUAUGAAAAGGUGAAUUCUAACAGAACACUGAAUUGAGAGCAAAAUGUAAGUGCUUUUGUGUGGUUUUUAUGCUUUUAUGAAAGGAAGAAGACAGAUAAAAAUGAUGGGAAGUCCUGUAGAGGUACAAAACUCCAAAUGAUCUAACUAUUAAAAAAAUAUGCUUUUUGUUCCCAAUAUGUGAUUAUUUUUCUUUUCCUCCUGGCAUUUAUGAAGUGUGCUGUAGUCUCUUUGUAUAGGCUUGUAGAUGAGGAACAAGGAAUUGCCAUUGACCUAAAGCAAACUGUGGUGGUGUGGAGUGUAAUCUGACAACUACUUACCAUACACACUGAACUUAUUUCUCCAAGUAGUUCACUGCAGUUUAUGACUGAAAACACGGAAGUCAGAGUGGUUUGGUAGAUGUUGGAUUGCCAUGAGCUAUCUUCAUAAUUUUAGAGGUCUCUGCUGUUAGUAUAGAAUCAUAGAAUGGCUUCGGUUGGAGCCAGUGUAAAGCUGAGCUUAGGUAUCUGGUGGCAGAGCCCUUCCUGCUUGGGCAUUUGUACCAUUCAACACAUGAAAACAGCAUAUUAACAGUUUAAAUUGUUAUGUUUCACUUCCAACUCAAAUGACUUAGUCCCAAAGCAUAGCGUGGUCUCGGUGAUGCAGUGUCACAUCUUUCCUGCGUAUCUUUUCAGUGGCGUGAGUACUUCCUGGUGCAGUUUGGUAAAUGGCCAAAAUGCCUCCAUAUCCUUUUCUCUGCAAUGCACGUUAUGCUCAUAAGCCACCGGGACCAUGAACACAAAUGAAUGUGUGUAACUGGUCCUUUUUGCUAAACCUCGUCAAACGUGGUGCUAGAUUCAAGGCGUGGUGUGCCCUGAUUACACCCAAUUGCUCUCUCUUUGUCUGAUUACUAUAAAACUAAGCUGGGAAUUUUUUGCUUCAAAAAGAAAUGAAGCUUCUUUCACUGUGCUCCUCAGAAAGCAUAGUUGGAUGUGGGUUUUUUUUAUAGCAUUAACUUUGAUUUUUUUCAUUAAUAGCAGUUUUGUUUGUUGCAGAAUUUAAUCGUAUUGUUAAAUGCAGCAGUCCAUUCUUCGCUAGGUUUUCCUCCUGCUUUCUCCUUUCUCCUUCCCCUUGCCGAGCAGCUGUUUUGUGGCAGGUAGGAGCGUUCCAGGCCGGUUGUUGGGCACAAGGCAUGGCGUUGCCCUGGCUGCUGCCCGGCAGCAGGAGCUGCAGGUUGCUGCCCGCCCGGUGCAGGCAGGCAGGCAGCAGCGCAGCGCUCCAGCACUAUUAAUAUGCACAGCGUGGCGGCUUUCGGGGAAGGUUAUUAGGAUGCGGGUUCGUAUCCUCCAGUGAAUGAAAUGAUGUGUGAUUAUGAAGUCAUCAGGCAUGGACCAGUAAGGCUCGGGAGAACCCCCCCAGGUCCUCGGGGUGCCAUUGAUUGGUGACCAUGUGUUUGUGCCCGAUAGACUGUGAAAUGGUGUGUUGCUCCACGGCUGUGCUGCACCUGCGCCCCACCGAGGCGAUGCUGGCAGGAGCUGGAGCAGGCGGUUGUAAAGGACAGCCGAGCCUUUGCCUUUAGAACAAAGUGGAGCUGCUGCAAGUCCUCAUGUUUCUUUCAUUUCUACUAAAAGACCAGAUAGGUCGUCCUGUGCUUCUGAGCGGGGAACAAACAAGCAAGCAAACAACAUAAAAAACCACUGCAAAAAAACCUACAAAAGAAUACAAAAAAAGCUCAGGGGGCACCAGCCCCCCAAACCUGCACUGCUGCACACAGUUCUUACCGCUGUGCACAAGCACUGCAGUACUGUAAUUAGAUUACCAAAGUAGCAGUGCAUGUGGAAGAUCUUAUUUAACCUCAGAAAAGUAGUAGUUUAUUUAUUGAAAACUACUGAUGUUGCACUUUAAAUGCCAAGAAAUUAUUUUAGUUCCUUAAAAAAAAAAAUUAAAAAAAUUCUAUAGUUACAUUGGGCGGUCUUGUUUGAUAUUUCUUAAUCUCACUCCUUUUUCAUAAUUGAUCUAUUCAUUCCACUUAAUGACUAAUUACAUAUCAGAGCACAUCAUCAGCAGCAUUCAUCAUUGUAGAAUGUAAUAAUCAAUGACAUUUCAACAAAGGAAAAAAUAAAUAUGCAAAUAAGGACUCAUUAACAUUUGCAUGAGCUGUUUGAAUAAUCACGUUGCUGACAAGGCUGUAAUUAACAGAAAUUGAUGCUGAGUUCAGUAUUUGAUAGUGUGUUUUCUCAGCGUUUUAUUGUUGUCACUGCGGGGGCUGGAAUGAAGUUCUGCUCUGCUUGUACCUUGACUUGGGCUUGAUGUGAUGGGCUGUGCCAGGUAGCAGAGGCUUCUGGGAGUCCCCAGUUCAGCUCUGACCUACGCUUAAUGCUGAGAGAGAGAGAUUUCAGCUAAAUGGCUGUAUUGUUAGUGAAGGAUUGUUGAAUCUCCGGUAAUUAUACAGCAGCUGAAGGAAGAUCUUUUCUCCUAAGUCAGGAAAACUAAAAAUGAUUUAAAAAAAAAAACACAACCCAACCCACUAAAACUCUUUUACAUGAGUCAGGCACUUAGAAACUGUAGGAUUUCUUACUUGUUCUGAAAACCAGGCAUUGAGGUAGGGUUAUGUUUUCUUGUUUCGUUUGUCACUCUUGUAUAGUGUAUCAGUGUUGGGAGACUUGAGCUUUAUUGUAAUUGAAAAUCACUUGCUAAGGAAAAUGUUGUGUAAUUAUGAAACGUUCGGGCUCUCCCCCCGCCCCCUCUGAUUAUUGCAACUUUAUUCCCCCUUCCCUCUUUUUCCUGAAGCUUCCUCUUUUUGUCAUGGAUAUCAGCUGAAAUGCACAAAACACAAUAAAGCUGUUUAUGUCA